rnacentral:rRNA from 1 species
GCCUCAGUAACGGCGAGUGAAGCGGCAACAGCUCAAAUUUGAAAUCUGGCCCUAGGCCCGAGUUGUAAUUUGCAGAGGAUGCUUUUGGCGCGGUGCCUUCCGAGUUCCCUGGAACGGGACGCCAUAGAGGGUGAGAGCCCCGUCUGGUCGGACACCAAGCCUCUGUAAAGCUCCUUCGACGAGUCGAGUAGUUUGGGAAUGCUGCUCAAAAUGGGAGGUAUAUGUCUUCUAAAGCUAAAUACCGGCCAGAGACCGAUAGCGCACAAGUAGAGUGAUCGAAAGAUGAAAAGCACUUUGGAAAGAGAGUUAAACAGCACGUGAAAUUGUUAAAAGGGAAGCGUUUAUGACCAGACUUGGGCCGGUUAAUCAUCCAGCGUUCUCGCUGGUGCACUUUGCCGGUCCAGGCCAGCAUCAGUUCGCUGCGGGGGAUAAAGGCGUCGGGAAUGUGGCUCCUCGGAGUGUUAUAGCCCUUCGCGUAAUACCCUGCGGUGGACUGAGGUUCGCGCUCUGCAAGGAUGCUGGCGUAAUGGUCAUCAACGACCCGUCUUGAAACACGGACCAAGGAGUCGUCUUCGUAUGCGAGUGUUCGGGUGUAAAACCCCUACGCGUAAUGAAAGUGAACGCAGGUGAGAGCUUCGGCGCAUCAUCGACCGAUCCUGAUGUUCUCGGAUGGAUUUGAGUAAGAGCAUACGGGGCCGGACCCGAAAGAAGGUGAACUAUGCCUGUAUAGGGUGAAGCCAGAGGAAACUCUGGUGGAGGCUCGCAGCGGUUCUGACGUGCAAAUCGAUCGUCAAAUAUGGGCAUGGGGGCGAAAGACUAAU